UUGGAGGGCAAGUCUGGUGCCAGCAGCCGCGGUAAUUCCAGCUCCAAUAGCGUAUAUUAAAGUUGCUGCAGUUAAAAAGCUCGUAGUUGAAUUUCGGGACCAAUAUGUCGGUCGUGCCUCGGUACGUACUGGCAUCGUUGGUUUCUCCCUUCUGACGAACCAUGAUGUCAUUCAUUUGGUGUCGUGGGGAAUCAGGACUGUUACUUUGAAAAAAUUAGAGUGUUUAAAGCAGGCUCACGCUUGAAUACAUUAGCAUGGAAUAAUGAAAUAGGACGUUUGAUUCUAUUUUGUUGGUUUCUAGGAUCGACGUAAUGAUUAAUAGGGAUAGUUGGGGGCAUUAGUAUUCAAUUGUCAGAGGUGAAAUUCUUGGAUUUAUUGAAGACUAACUACUGCGAAAGCAUUUGCCAAGGAUGUUUUCAUUAAUCAAGAACGAAAGUUAGGGGAUCGAAGACGAUCAGAUACCGUCGUAGUCUUAACCAUAAACUAUGCCGACUAGGGAUCGGAUGAUGUUAAUUUUUUAAUGACUCAUUUGGCACCUUACGGGAAAC
rnacentral:rRNA from 1 species